GCACUCGUGGCGGAACGGCAGACGCACUACCUUGAGGUGGUAGCGUGUAAUUACGUAUGAGUUCAAAUCUCAUCGAGUGCACCA
rnacentral:tRNA from 1 species